AUAGUGGUGAAAGAGGAGUUGUGAAGGGGAACUUGUUAUUCAAGACACAAGGAGCGAGUCCGGCCGAGAAAGCACCAGAGGUGUAACUAUGGUGUAUGAAACACCAUCUUUUACGUUGCCUCUUAUUUUGGAUUAUACAAUGUAUCUUGUGCCAACUUAGGACAUAUCUUCUUUGUGAAGCAUGUAAACUCUAAUCCUUUUUAUUAAAAGUAUUUAUUUGACCAA